rnacentral:rRNA from 1 species
AUGUCCCCUGUAGCCAAUCUAAUAAAAUGGUUAGUUAUACAUGUCAUGUCAUUAAUGUGUGGUCCAGCUUCUCUCACAAAGGAUGUUAGAACCCAUACAGCUCACUGUAAAUCUACAAACCGCUUUUUUUCCCUCUCCCCUUCAACUAAACAAAUUUUUGAUGUGAUAUCUCUUAUAGCCCCGCCUAUAUCGUCCUAUUAUAGUUUAUUCAUAGUAUAUACCGCAACAACACUAUCUGCAUCUCCCAGUGCAGACAUUGUCGAAGGAAGGGGGAGAGGUGUUUGGAGCCUUGUAGUGACUCUUGAAAGGAAAGAGGAGAGAGAAAGGCUGGGACAUAAAUGA